ACGGAUCUGUGGGUCUUGAGCUACAUCAAAAGAACAGAGAAGCGGGCUUGCGAGUUUCUGUCCCUCUUCCAACCGCGCGGAGCAGGAAGAUGGCUGACUUAGACAUUUCCUUGAAUUUUGGACUUCUUCCCUGGACUUCCGGUUUCGAUGGCUGACGAGAUGAAUGAAAGAAGCCAGGGCUCCAGCUUCUCAGCCCAAAUUUGCUUUGCUCAGCGACCCUAAACAGUCAGAAAGUUACCCUGGAGGGGCAACGAAGAAGGAGGGAUACUUCAGGAAUCCGGACCAAAUGGCGGUCGGUCUGAGCGGACUGAAGAAACCUUCUGAAAGGACAGAGGAAAGGCUGCUGGGUGAGCCCAGGCAGCCCAAGUCUUCGCCAGCCAGAAGGAAAGCGAGGAGCUGCGGCACUCCACCAAAUAGCUGAUUGUCAACAGCGUGCUGAAGCUGGGUGAGCCAGUGCUUUUUCCUUUUCCUUUUGGAUUAAAAAACGUUGAGCCCCUGAUUGGGAAGAGCUAAAAAGUAAAGACCUCAGAAGAAUUGAAGCUAAAGGUGGCGAGCAAUUACAAAAGGGGAAGAUAUUUAAGGAAUACAAAAAAAAAAAUUCUAAAAAUUGAACUCAGAUUGAU